AGAAGUGACAGAGUACUGGGAACAUUUCAAGCAGCACUGUUUCUUUUACGCUGGUUGGAUAUAAAGAUUUAACAUUAUGGCUGAUAAAGGAAAUAUUUUCUCCUGUAUGUCAGAAAGGAUGUAUCAACAAAUUCCAACCAAGAAGACCAGCUCAGAACAAACAUCUAUCCUGAAUGGACACAAUUUAAGUGAACUUUAUAAAAUCGAGUGAACUUGUAAGUUUACAAGAAAAAAAAAAAACAUUAUGUACAGGUAUAAACUAAACUUUUAAACAGGAAUGGAAGACCGUCCAUAUCCAGCUACAGUAUGAGAACUUCCGGAUAUACGGCGUGAUAUAGAAGGUUUCCAUUCAGUGUCAGGAUAAUCCGUAUGGGUUUAAUGGCAUGGUGGUGUUUGGAGAUGAAACCUAUGGCAUGACCCCAGGAUGUAUCUCAGAUAUGACUGGCUAUAAUCAAUACCUAACUAGGUGUGGAAAUGGCUUUAGUACUGGAGCCAUUGACACAGACCAUCGGAAUAAUGCUCGGGCAUCUCGUCAAAUGCUGCUAGUGAAUGUUGCAGUGACUAUGUCUGCUAUAUCGGCCCCGAUGAACAAUCACAACCAACUAGGAGAUCGUCACAUGGACCCACCUUCUACUGAUGGUUAUGCAUUAGCACCUAUUUAUGGAAGGGGAGGGAACGGGUCUCAGCUUUGGGAUCGAGAUGAAAAACCAGAGGAAGAGGAGAAGAAUUCGCAUCUGAAGGAGAAGAAGAAAAAAGCUAGAAGCAGGAAGAGGAAAAGAUCCCGCCAUUCCAGUCAUUAAAGGGCUAAAGAUCUGACCAACAUGUGUCAUAGCACACCUUUAAUAAAAUAAUAUCCAUAUGAAUUUCUCUGUUUUGUUCUUCUUGGUUUACAUAUUUUAAGAUGCAGUCACAUUUACCAUUUGGCAAUUUUUUUUUGCAGGCAAAGUCCAGUCAUUUCAAUAGAAAUCCACACAAAAGUUUUACCCAUGCAGAUUUUUGGUUCAAGUUGGUCAAGAAAAUUCAUUGCUUGGUAUGAAAGUGACUUCUGAGUUGUGAUUCAAACAUUGCUACACUAAUAAAAAUGGACAAUCUAGCUUUUUUGCCUGUAAAAUUUCACUGAUGUGACCCCAACUUUAUUGUGUGUUCAUUAACAAAAUAAGUUUGUGUGUUUACUAACAAAAUAAGUUGCUUUUUCAUGGUACUGAACUAAUCAGCUGCACUGUUAAAGGGAUAAUUCACCAAAAAAUGAAAAUCACCCCAUGAUUUACUCACCCUCAAGCCAUCCUAAGUGUAUAUAUAGGGCCUUUCGCACUGCUUUAGUUCCAGAACUAAAAGUACAGAACUAAAGUACUGAGACGAUUUUGCACAAGCUAUUUCCCAGUACCAUUUAAAGGGUUGCAUUCGCACCGACAGUGGGUACUAAGAAGUGGCGUCUUCUACUACGAAGCCAUGCUGUUGUAAUAGCUGCAGUAUGUGGUUUUGCAUUGUCCUGCUGAAAUACACAAGGCCUUCCCUGAAAUAGACGUCGUCUGGAGGGGAGCAUAUGUUGCUCUAAAACCUUUAUAUACCUUUCAGCAUUCAUAGUGCCUUCCAAAACAUGCAAGCUGCCCAUACCGUAUGCACUUAUGCACCCCCAUACAAUCAGAGAUGCUGGCUUUUGAACUGAACGCUGAUAACACACUGGAAGGUCUCCCUCCUCUUUAGCCCGGAGGAACACGGCGUCUGUGAUUUCCAACAAGAAUGUCAAAUUUGGACUCAUCUGACCAUAGAACACUUUUCCACUUUGAAACAGUCCAUUUUAAAUGAGCCUUGGCCCACAGGACACAACGGUGCUUCUGGACCAUGUUCACAUAAGGCUUCCUUUUGGCAUGAUAGAGCUUUAGUUGGCAUCUGCAGAUGGCACGGCGGAUUGUGUUUACCGACAGUCUGGAAGUAUUCCUGAGCCCAAUUAGUAAUGUCAACGACAGAAUCAUGCCGAUGAGUGAUGCAGUGUCGUCUGAAGGCCUGAAGACCAUGGGCAUCCAACAAAGGUCUUCGGCCUUGUACCUUACGCACAGAGAUUUCUCCAGUUUUUCUGAAUCUUUUGAAGAUGUGCACUGUAUAUGCACUGUAGAUGCUGAGAUUUGCAAAGGAACAUAGUUUUUAAAGUAUUCCACAAUCGUUUUACGCACUCUUUCACAGUUUGGAGAGCCUCUGCUCAUCUUUACUUCUGAGAGACUCUGCCUCUCUAAGACAUCCCUUUUGUAGCUAAUCAUGUUACAGACCUGAUGUCAAUUAAUUUAAUUAGUUUCUAGAUGUUCUCCCAGCUGAAUCUUUUCAAAAUUUCUUGCUUUUUCAGCCCUUUGUUGCCCCCGUGCCAACUUUUUUGAGACUUGUAGCAGGCAUCAAAUUUGAAAUCAGCUCAUUUAGUGGAUAAAAGUGUAACAUUUUUCAGUUUAAACAUUUGUUAUGUUCUCUAUGUUAUAUAUGAAUAAAAUAUUGGCUCAUGUGAUUUGAAAAUCGUUUAGUUUUCAUUUUAUUCAAAUUUAAAUAACGUCCCAACAUUUCCGGAAUUCGGGUUGUAUAUUUUGAAUGUACUGAUUUCCAAUUUGAUCAUUACAAAUGUGUGAUUACAAAUAUAUUUAAAUACAUAACAUACAAGUCAAUAAUAUUAAUAUAUUUAAAAAAUAUUUUAGUUUACCACAAAUUCUUGACAGCAGUACAUUCGGCAGUACAUUUUAACCAUAUAUCAAAAAUAACAGAAGUAAUUAUGAAAUGACAUAUAACAGUAUACUCACUCAAGUCCUAUGUAACUAUGUCUAUAAAAGAACACUUCUACUAAUUGCUUUUAAUAUAAAUUUAAAUUACAAUACAAUUUCAUUUAAUUGCAAAUAACAUCAAAUGAAGUGUCCCAGAAAUAACAUAUUCAGUUAAUAUUUAAGUAUAUUCUUUUAAAGAACAUUAUUUCUCUAAUAAGUAGCCUACUAUUUUUAAAAAGUAUGCUAAAGUGCUCUUCUUGUUCAUAAGGCAAGGCAAGGCAAGUUUAUUUAUAUAGCACAUUUCAUACACAGUGGUAAUUCAAAGUGCUUUACAUAAAAGGAAGUGAAACAGUCAUUAAAAAAAUAUUAAUCAUAACAAUAAAAACAAGGAAAUGAUAUAAAAAUUGAUUUAAAAUUAAUUUAAAACAGUUAAGAGUAGAAAAUGAUUAUAAUUAAAAUACAGUGCAAUUAUUUCGGACAUAGCACAGUGCUCAUUCAACAAAUGCACAGCUAAACAGAUGAGUUUUGAAUCUGGAUUUAAAUGUGGCUAAUGUUUUGGCACAUCUGAUCUCUUCUGGAAGCUGGUUCCAACUGCGGGCGGCAUAAUAGCUAAAAGCAGACUCCCCUUGUUUUGUGUGAACUCUUGGUAUUUUUUUUUCACCUCGAUCCUAAUGAUCUGAGUGGUCUGUUAGGUUUAUAUUCAGUGAGCAUAUCUGCAAUGUAUUUAGGUCCUAGGCCAUUGAGUGAUUUAUAAAUGAGUAAAUGUACUUUAAAAUCAAUCCUAAAUGUAACUGGAAGCCAGUGUAAGGACCUACUGUAGUACUGAUGUGAUUUGCACAGAUUUUCUGGUUGUAGUCAGAAUCCUGGCAGCAGUGUUCUGGAUGAGUUGCAGCUGUCUAAUGGUCUUCUUUGGAAGGCCGGUGAGGAGACCAUUACAAUAAUCCACCCUGCUGGUGAUAAAGGCAUGCCAUGAACAAGUUUCUCCAAGUCUUGACUGGAAACAAAACAUCUCAUUCUUGCAAUGUUUUUGAGAUGAUAGUAUGCUGACUUAGUUACUGCUUUGACAUGACUACUAAAACUACGGUCUGUCUCCAGAAUCAGCCAAAGAUAUUUGACUUGAUUUUUAGUUGUUUGACCCCUAGAGUCAAGGUAUGCAUUCACCUUGAGAACUUCAUCUUUGUUUCCAAAUGCAAUGACUUCAGUUUUCUCCUUGUUUAACUGAAGAAAGUUCUGGCACAUCCAACUGUUAAUUUCAUCAAUGCAUUGGCAGAGGGAGUCAAUGGGGCUGUAGUCAUUUGGAGAUAAGGCUAGGUAAAUCUGGGUAUCAUCAGCAUAGCUGUGAUAGGCAAUUUGGUUCUUUCUCAUUAUUUGACUUAGUGGGAGCAUAUACAGGCUAAACAAGAGCGGUGCAAGAAUUGAGCCUUGUGGGUCUCCGCAUGUCAUGGACGUCCACUUAGACUUAUGCUCUCCUAUACUCACAUAAUAACCUCUCCCUUCUAAGUAUGACCUGAACCAUUUGCAUAUCAUCCCAGAAAGCCCGAUCCAGUUUUCCAGUCUCUCUAGAAGUAUGUUAUGAUCAACCGUAUCAAACGCAGCACUAAGAUCUAGUAGUACCAGAACUGAUAUUUUGCCAGAAUCAGAAUUAAAGCGAAUAUCAUUUAUUAUCUUAAUGAGUGCUGUCUCUAUGCUGUGAUGCGCUCGGAAACCAGAUUGAAAAUUGUCCAGGUAUCUAUUUGAGUUUAAGUAGUUGUCUAUUUGAGUUUAAGUAGUUGUUAAAGAGGUAAAUUGUGCAGUCUACAUGAAAAACAGGAACAAACUACCAUUUCACAAUGUUUUUAUGCGGCAUUUCCUAUAAAAUGUAUCAGUCUUAUGCAAGUUUUUUUCCAACUAAAUUAAAUUAUGCUAGUGUCGACUGUCUUACAUUGACACGCAAAUAUUAUCUUUGUGCUUCCCACAGAAAGGUAUCACGAGAGGAAAUGAAACCACAAUCUUCAAUAAAAGAGUAAAAAAAAGUCUCAGUAUGAGUGUGCAUAGAAUACAAGCACCGAUAUGCAAAAUGCAAACCGGAUGCCACGUGACAACAACAGUUCAGGAGGUGACAGUUCAGCCAUGACACGUGGAAGACGAAGGGUAUUUAAUAUGCAAUUUUAUAAGCAAAAAAUGCAAAAUGAAAGGAUAUUUUCUAUGAAAAGUUAAAACUGAAACCUACCAUUGGUGUUGGUUUCGGUUUUGUACACAACCUGUAUUGGUGGGUUUUGACUGUGUGAAAGUGUGUUAGCAUUAGCCUGUGAGGCUAGGUCUUGUGGACAGGGCGGAAGUUUGUGUUUUGGUUUUAAAAACCUGAUGUUAUUAUUAUCAUAUUGAGAACAGUGGUGAAAAAGAGGAUCAAUGUUACUAUUUGGUUAGUUUCAUUGAAGGUUUCUGUUCAAGUUCUUUUGCCUAAUCAAAUAUAUUUUAGAUGGGAUGGAGGACCCUUGAAGGCACGUCGGAUAUACAAGGAAACAGUAUGGGCUUCUGGAUUGUUUAGCAUGAAUUUUGGAUUGCUAAAGUCAUGCUUAGGAAAUGUUUAGUAAUUGGAAUAAUUAUUCAGUCUAAUAAUAUUUUGCUGUGUAAGUUCUCCACUGGUUUGCUUUUUUAAUCUUUUAAUUUUUUCUUUUCAGGUCCCAGUCCAAUGUGAAGACACAAUUUCAGUUCAGUGUCAGGAUGACCAGUUCGGGUUGGAUGCUGAAGUGGUUUAUGAUGACAAAUCCUUUCCAUUAUGGAGAUGCACUCCAUUUAUGGCUGGGUCAUAUCAUGGGGGAAGAGUUCCUGGGCAGAAUCAGGAUACUGACCGUUCCAAGAUGGCAGACGCGUCAACAGGUCUGGAGCGGUAGAAUAUGCUGCUGGUCAAAUGCAGGAGUCAUUUGCUGUGAAUGGACAAAUAAGUGCAAAUGCAGGCUUCUCCACAACCGCAGAUGCUUUGGGUGCUGACAGCCUAACAUUCACAGAUGGGGUAUCUCCAGGAUUCAUAGCGCCUGAUGGCAUGGGAGGCAACGGCAAUGAAUUGAUGAACAGAGAUGAACGUUAUGAAGAGAAACGUGUGCAUCCAAAGGGAAAGAAGAAAAAAAGUAAGAAAAGAGGGAGAACAGCUUCACCAUUAAAGAGAAAAAGCAUCCAGUCAGCAUCUGAUUAUUGUGAAAUGUGACUUUAUUAAUAAGAUAAAUAACACUUAUUUUCUGUUUAUGUAGCAUAUACUCUAUUUCUGUAAGCUUAAAGGGACAGUUCACCCAAAAAUGAAAAUUCUGUCAUUAAUUACUCACCCUCAUGCCAUUCCAAAUUCAUUCAUCUUCGGUACACAAAUUAAUACAUUUUUGAUGAAAUCCGAGAUCUCUCUGAAACUCGAUUUACAGCAAAGGUAACUACCACGGUCAAGGCACAGAAAGGUAGUAAGGACAUCGUUGGAACAGUCCAUCAGUGGUUCAACCGUAAUUUUACGAAGCUACGAGAAUACUUUCUGCAUAGACUUUAUUCAACAAUUCUUCUCCUCCUUGGCGUCACCCUAGGCGCCAUUAUCGCGAAUACCACGAUGUACAUAUCUUUCUGUGCCUGGGAACAUUUCAGUUACAUUGCUGUCUAUGGAGGGUCAGAAAGCGCGUGGAUUUCAUCAAAAAUAUCUUAAUUUGUGUUCCGAAGAUGAACAAAGGUUUUACGGGUUUGGAACGAUAGGAGGGUGAGUAAUUAAUGACAGAAUUUUCAUUUUUGGGUGCUGACAGCCUAACUCGUCAUAACUCUAACUCUCUGUAUUGCUUUAUAAACUUCUAUAACUCUAACUUUCUUUUCUGUACUCUUUAAAUAAAUCACACUUACAA